GCGGCGUCACGUCCGCGAGGCUCUCGGGCCCGCCGGCGUCUGGGGGGAACCGGGGCGCCAGGCGGUGCGCGGGCCGGGGCGCGAGGUCGCGCGGGAAGGCCGGCGCGGGUCCAGGCACCCCGCUGGGAGCCCUGGGUGCUGCCCGAACGUGGUUUUCUCCGAAACUGCCCCCCGGUGGGCCGGUGUCGCGGCUUUACAAAGAACCCGUGUACAAAAUGUUCACCUCUUCUUGGCGUCUACCCCCAAGCUCAUACUCAUAAACCCAUCAAAAUUUUCAGUGAAACCUGGGAAGCUCUGGUUAAGAAUGUCUGCUACCCUUCUGAUAAGACAGUUUAGCAGUCAUCGUGUCAACCUGAGUGUGUGUUUCUGAGAUUUCAUCCCUAUUCCAGUGCAUGCAUCCCAUAUGGACACCAGCUCAUGUCCUGGCUGCUCCACUUCUGAUCUAGCUCCCUGAUAAUGGAACUGCUGGGAGAAGCAUCGGAAGACAACCCAAGUGCUUGGGCCCUUGCUACCCACAUGGGAGACCUAGAAGAAGCUCCUGGCUCCUGGCUUUAGCCUGGGCCAGCCCCUGCUGUUGCAGCCAGUCAGUGGUUGAAAGAUUCUCUUGGCCGGUGCCGUGGCUCACUUUGUUAAUCCUCCACUUGCGGCGCCAGCAUCCCACAUGGGCCCUGGGUUCUUGCUCCUCUUCCAAUCCAACUCUCUGCUGUAGCCUGGGAAGGCAAUGGAGGAUGGCCCAAGUGCUUGGGCCUCUGCACCCGCAUGGGAGACCAGGAAGAAGCACCUGGCUCCUGGCUUCGGAUCAGCGCAGCUCUGGCCGUUGCGGCCAUUGGGGAGUGAACCAAUGGAAGGAAGACCUUUCUUUCUGUCUCUCUCUCUCACUGUCUAUAACUCUACCUGUCAAAUAAAUAAAAUUAAAAAUUAAAAAAAAGAUUCUCUAACUCUGACUUUCAGAUAAAUAAAAAAUCUUUUUAAAAAAAGA